UGAGUCUCAUGAUGUCUCAUUUGCCUGACAAGGUUAAAUAUCCACCCGUGACAGAGGAAGACGAGAUCGGCCAUAUCUGGGUUACCUGGCAUCACCUGGCUGAGUAGGAAUGAGGAGAUAUAUGUCCAUGAGUGGGAUUGCUGGAUCCAAAGAUACCGGGAUGACACUUAGCCCUGUGCACUCCAUUUUCACUUUAAACUCAUGGACAGAGCAUGAAAUUCCAGCCAAGAGAGAUUUCAGGACUCUCCUUUUUGGCUCAUUGUUGGGGCAAUACCUCAACCAAAGUUUAAAAGAAAUGGA
ensembl:lncRNA